AGGAAUAAUGCGUCGAAGUUUCUGCCCCCUCCAGUCUUGGUUAUCCCAGACGUAAUUGGAUCUUUCAUGUAUUGUCUCAGCGAGUAAAUGAAAGUAAUAUUCAUGAGGGAAAAACGAAGCGAUAGGAUCGGAUCGGAUCGGAGGGCAGUUACUAUAAUGAAUCGAGUUAUGAGGAUACGUAGUGGCUCAUAGAGCGAAUGCCUACUUGAAGCGGACAAUGGCAACAACCGCACGGCCAACGGCAGGCGAGACAAAGCGAGAUUAGCUAUAAGCGAAUAAGUCUGAGUAGCCGCCCUGCCUUUUACUCAGGCUUCUGUUAAGAGCUGACCACGACAUCGACUCCAACAUAUUCUCGGACCUGCAGUGGGAAAUUACAUGGGAAAGAAGCAAAGCCACUAGCGAACGUUUGAAAAAGGCGAUAUUGAGAUUGUACGAAGAAGGAAUUCCGCGUAAAACGUAGGGGAAAUAGUCAUUGAAUAUUUAAAGGCAGCAAAAUCGUUGAUGAAAUGGGGAAGACAAUUCCGUGCAAGAUGAAAAGUUUCGUAGAAACUCUAAGGUAACCGGUCCAAGGUCUCAUUCAGUUCGAUGUAGCAUGCAUGCUGUGCAGUGUGCAUUAGAAUGAGAGACCAAAGUAACAUUUUCGAUGAAUGUCGAGAGUCGC